CUGGUGACUUUCUUCAGCCAAGAUGGCUGACAAAACAUUACAGGGAAGCAAAUCAAUUUUGAGCAAAUUGCUCAAGGGCCACGGUUGAUUUGUCUGUGAAGAUGACGUUAUUGAAUGUCUCGCCAGCUUUGAUUCAUGCCUGGGCCUGCAGGACGCAAAGUUCUUUGUUUGUCAGACGAAUCACUAGAAUCAUUGACUCACUCACGCGUUGAAAAGGGCGAGGAACGAGAUGGAGUCACAAUCCAUGUCAGGCACACCUAUGAGCUCUGGAAUUCCACCUCCGACGGGCAGAGUCAACAUACGUGGUGGGUUUGCCAGGUCUUCGGUUCACCCUGACAUUUCCAUUUCUCUUCUGACAAAUUGACCAACUGCUCACCAGGCACAGCAAGGGCUGCCCGGACCGUUAUGCUGUUCUGCUAUUCCAAGGAUGUGUAACUGAAGAGAGAUUCCAUGAAUGGGCACAGAAUACAUAGCCUUCCCACUGCGGACGUCUAUUUCAGCACCGUUUCACGCUGCUCCGAGACAAGCAUUGAGAAGCAAAAAUGUUCAAAUAUUCCAUGAUAUUCUUAAGAUAUGUGUUGACUUGAAUGUCUGCAUAAUAAUCAAGUUAGGUUUCUCCGGAAAUAAAUAAUUAAAAAUAACAAACUGGCUUUAUUUAGAAAUUAGAGAGAAUGCCUCACCCCAUGUUCAAGAAUUGCCUUUUUCUCGGUCACUCUAGGUUAAAUAAAAAACAAAAUCUCCAAAAUAAAAUUAAUUUUUAAACAAAGCGAUUAUUAUUAUUAUUAAUUAAUUUAGAAUUAUAUAAAAGCCCCUUAGAUAUUCUCAGAUAUUCUCACAGAAUUUUUUUUGUGUCGAUACUACAGAACAGUACAAAACAAGCGAGCACACAUGGUUAAUGUUCUGAUCAUUUAAAAAAUAAAUAAUAUAUAUAACAUUUUUCACCGAGCCUUUCCAUAAGUCCACGCAAGUUUCUUCAACUCUAUUCUGACUGUAAUUAGAGAGAAAAGCCUACUUUUUUAAAAACAACUAUUUUAGCAUGGUUUCGCGCUGCUCUGAGGCAAGACUGGUCUUGAUAAAUCAAUGAGAUUUUUAUUUUCACUUCAUCUCUGUUUGGGUAUUGGUUAGACAAUAAUUAGAAAAUUAGGGUGCAGAAAUGUUAUGCUCUUAGUGUAACCUUUAUUUGACUAGGCAAGUCAAUUAAGAACAAAUUCUUAUUUACAAGGACAGCCUACUCCUUCCUCGUGCCCUGCGGGGAGUCUUUAGCUAUAUAUCCCAGUAAUGUACUGCCGACUGUCACGUUGUACAGUGUCAUAUUUUCCAUUCCAUUUUGAGGGAAACCAAGAGGGUUUUUUGUUUUUCUUGGAAUAGAAAAAACAUAAUAUGAAUCAAAUGAAUUAAGCAAGUACCAUUCAAAGGUUUGGACACACCUACUAAUUUCAGUUUUUUUUUUACUAUUUACUACAUUGUUGAAUAAUAGUGAAGACAUCACAAAUAUGAAAUAACAACGGUCUCCCGCGUGCCCUGCAUUCUGUAGUACAGACAUGGCCUGCUCUCCCUUAUGUAAGGAAUUAGGCACCUUCCCAUGUUUACUACAGUAUGUAUUGUAGACUGCACAGUAGCCUAAUAAACAAAUACACAUUUCAUUAAUAAAAUAAUGAUGAACAAAUACUCUUUCAAAAUGCAGAUGUUGAUUUAGUUAUGGAUCCACAACGAAUUACUAUGGGAAUAAAUAUCACUGAUUUACAGAAAUAUUGGAACAAAGUUGUCUAAUGAAGGCAAACAUUUUAGAAUCCUCCAAUCCUGUAGCCUAUUCCCCGACCGUCGCGUUGUACAGUGCCAUAUUUUCCAUACCAUCCUAACAGAAACCCUGAGGGUUUUGUUUUUCUCUGAAUAGAAACACCAUAAUAUUAAUCAAAUGAAUUAAGCCAAAUUUCUUAAAAUCAAUCCCAUAUACUAUGUUACUACAAAAAAGGUUUUAAUUCUCUGGUAAUGUCAAUACAGAAUACUAUCAAAUGCUUCUCAAAGAAGCACUCUGGUGGUCAAACUAGCAAUAACUUGAAGUAACAGAAAAAAAUGUCUGACAAUUAAAUGACGUGCCACAGAAUGCUGUGGCAGCACGCAAGGUGUGCUGCAGUAUGACAACUUUUAAAGGCGGAACCACCGUAUGUACUGUCCUGUGUGGCUCAGUCGGUAGAGCAGUCGGUAGAGCAUGGCGCUUGCAACGCCAAGCGUCGUGGGUUCGAUUCCCGCUGGGGCCACCCAUAUGUAAAAGUAGUGGCCCCGGCCGACUUGUAAGUCGCUUUGGACAAAAGCGUCUGCUAAAUGGGAUAUAUUUAUUAUUAUUAACUGUGGGACCUUAAAUAGGCAGGUAUGUGCCUUUUCCAAAUCAAUUGAAUUUACCACUGGUGGACUCCAAUCAAGUUGUAAAAACAUCUCAAGGAUGAUCAAUGGAAACAGGAUGCACCUGAGCUCAAUUUAAAGUCUCAUAGCAAAGGGCCUGAAUACUUAUGUAAAUAAUGUAUUUCUAUAUUCAAUUUUUAAUACAUUUUUUAAAAAUUCAAAAAAUCUGUUUUCACUUUGUCAUUUUGGGGUAUUGUGUGUAGAUUGAUGAGGCAAAAAUAUUUUCAUCCAUUUUAGAAUGAGGCUGUAGCGUAACAAAAUGUAGAAAAAAGUGAAGGGGUCUGAAUACUUUCCUAAUGCACUGUAUUUAAUGAGAUGAUUAGUGAUUAAUUUACAUUUGUCCCUCAUUUAGCACAUUUAUUUUCAGUCAUAUCCAAUACCAGGUGUAUCAAACUCUGUUAUUUGAAUGAUGCUGAGUCUGCGUGUAUGCAGAUAGACAGACUAGAAAUGUUUUAAUAAUUUCAUUUUUUUGGGUAAAGCUUGCCACUCCCUUUAGCACACAACAUGCUUCGAUUCACCCUGUCACAAGGAGAUGUAUGGUUGAUUUAAGAAGAAAUUGUCAACCCUGUUACAUUCAACCCUCAUACUUUAUUUGGUACUUAAUAGGCACUUAUGAUAGUCAAGUUGAUCAUGUGCUCUUUCUAUGACCGAAUAUUAAAAUUAGGCGAAUUUAUACUUCUCAAAAGGCCCAGAAUUGGUGGAAUGAUCCAUGCCAUGUUAGGUACUAGGGGGUAACUAGCACCCCCUAAGAACAAUGUUGAAUUACUGACACAAAAAAUAUUUUUUUGGUAUGUGCAUUUAACCUAUGAAGGUCAUGCUAAGGCAAAUAAAAUAUAAAGUUAAAUAAA